ensembl:snRNA U6 U6 spliceosomal RNA
GUGCCUCACUUUGGCAGCAUGUAUGCUAAAACUGGAACAAUACAGAGAAGAUUAACAUGGCCCCUGCGCAAGAAUGACAUGAAAUUCAUGAAGCAUUCCAUAUUCUU